rnacentral:rRNA from 1 species
UACAGAGGGUGCGAGCGUUGUUCGGAAUCACUGGGCGUAAAGCGCGCGCAGGCGGCGAUCUACGUCUGGGGUGAAAGCCCGGAGCUCAACUCCGGGACUGCCUUGGAUACGGGAUCGCUUGAGGAUUGGAGAGGCAAGGGGAAUUCCACGUGUAGCGGUGAAAUGCGUAGAUAUGUGGAGGAACACCUGUGGCGAAGGCGCCUUGCUGGCCAAUUUCUGACGCUGAGGCGCGAAAGCGUGGGGAGCAAACAGG